rnacentral:rRNA from 1 species
UACGAAGGGGGCUAGCGUUGUUCGGAUUUACUGGGCGUAAAGCGCACGUAGGCGGAUCGAUCAGUCAGGGGUGAAAUCCCAGAGCUCAACUCUGGAACUGCCUUUGAUACUGUCGAUCUGGAGUAUGGAAGAGGUGAGUGGAAUUCCGAGUGUAGAGGUGAAAUUCGUAGAUAUUCGGAGGAACACCAGUGGCGAAGGCGGCUCACUGGUCCAUUACUGACGCUGAGGUGCGAAAGCGUGGAGAGCAAACAGG